AUUCAGCUGACGAAUCUCAAACAGGACGAAAUACAUAUCCUUGAU
rfam:Schistosoma mansoni, Puerto Rico, WGS project CABG01000000 data, contig: 0041